UGUUUCACCUCAGGGUUAUUGCUAAUCUGAAAGCAAACUACCAGCAGGAAGCCAAGACAGUAGAACCAAAUGCCAUGGAACUACACCUGAGAAAGUCCUUUGGUCUUCCCAAUGGUGGGUUUCCAGGAGGAAUCGCCUAGCUUGAGACGAGACAACACAGCCCAAAGAACCUUCUCUUCCGUCUUCUACCCAGUGGGUAGGGAGUCAGAUUUAGAAGGCUGCUGUCAUCUGUGACGGGACAGAAAGUACAGAUGAGUGAGGACUCAUUUGUUUAACCAGCAAAUGAUCAAUGAACUUAACCUAACCGGAUAAAAAGGCAAAGAUACAGCAGACUCUGAAGUGUAAAGAAUUUUACCUCUUGAUAUCUCUUUGGAUGCUGACUACACUUCCUAAAGCCCUGGAAUUCAAUGCUUCCUUGGAACAGAAUCAUCAAAACUAUGAAGAUAUUUGGGGCUGGCCCCGUGGCCGAGUGGUUAAGUUCGCGCGCUCCGCUGC